rnacentral:rRNA from 1 species
UAUAUAGAAAAAAGAUAUAUAGUCUAACCUGCCCACUGAAUGAAUAAUUUAAAGGGCUGCGGUAUCCUGACCGUGCGAAGGUAGCAUAAUAAAUAGUCUUUUAAUUGAAGUCUGGUAUGAAUGGUUGGACAUGAAGCUAGCUGUCUUGGGUGUAUAUAUUGAAUUUUACUUUUAAGUGAAAAGGCUUAAAUUUAGUGAGGGGACGAUAAGACCCUAUAAAGCUUAUAUUUUGUAUAGUAGUUGAGGAACAUUAGGUUUUUUUAGGUUUCUAUGCAAAGUAUUUCGUUGGGGCGACGGGAAUAUAAUAUGUAGGUAACUGUUCUUAAGAUAAAAUAAGUAUUAUUAGUAAGGUUGAUCCUUUGUAAAGAUUAUAAGAGUUAAGUUACUUUAGGGAUAACAGCGUAAUUUUUUUUGAGAGUUCAUAUCGACAAAAUUAGUUGCGACCUCGAUGUUGAAUUAAGAUAUUUCUAAGGUGUAGGAGCUUUAGUGGUAGGUCUGUUCGACCUUUAAAAUCUU